rnacentral:rRNA from 1 species
GACGAACGCUGGCGGCGCGCUUAACACAUGCAAGUCGAACGGAAAGGCCUGCUUUCCCUUGUGGAUUGCGGGUACUCGAGUGGCGAACGGGUGAGUAACACGUGAGUGAUCUGCCCCCAACUUGGGUAUAAGCCUGGGAAACUGGGUCUAAUUCCCGAUAGGACUGCAGGGUGGUGCCUGUGGUGGAAAACGAUUUUCUAGUGGUUGGGGAUGAGCUCGCGGCCUAUCAGCUUGUUGGUGGGGUAAUGGCCUACCAAGGCGGCGACGGGUAGCCGGCCUGAGAGGGUGGACGGGCACAUUGGGACUGAGAUACGGCCCAGACUCCUACGGGAGCCAGCAGUGGGGAAUAUUGCACAAUGGGCGGAAGCCUGAUGCAGCGACGCCGCGUGGGGGAUGACGGCCUUCGGGUUGUAAACUCCUUUCGACCGCGAGGAAGCCACCUGGUUGGAAGGGUGGUGACGGUAGUGGUAGAAGAAGCACCGGCUAACUACGUG